rnacentral:rRNA from 1 species
UACGGGAGGCAGCAGUGGGGAAUAUUGCACAAUGGGCGCAAGCCUGAUGCAGCCAUGCCGCGUGUAUGAAGAAGGCCUUCGGGUUGUAAAGUACUUUCAGUCGUGAGGAAGGUGUUAAGGUUAAUAACCUUAGCAAUUGACGUUAGCGACAGAAGAAGCACCGGCUAACUCCGUGCCAGCAGCCGCGGUAAUACGGAGGGUGCGAGCGUUAAUCGGAAUUACUGGGCGUAAAGGGCACGCAGGCGGUUAAUUAAGUUGGAUGUGAAAUCCCCGGGCUUAACCUGGGAAUGGCAUUCAAGACUGGUUAGCUAGAGUCUUGUAGAGGGGGUAGAAUUCCAUGUGUAGCGGUGAAAUGCGUAGAGAUGUGGAGGAAUACCGGUGGCGAAGGCGGCCCCUGGGACAAAGGACUGACGCUCAUGUGCGAAAGCGUGGGGAGCGAAACAGGGAUUUAGAUACCCGGU